rnacentral:rRNA from 1 species
UACGAAGGGGGCUAGCGUUGCUCGGAAUCACUGGGCGUAAAGCGCACGUAGGCGGAUUGCUAAGUCAGGGGUGAAAUCCUGGAGCUCAACUCCAGAACUGCCUUUGAUACUGGUAGUCUCGAGUCCGGAAGAGGUGAGUGGAAUUCCGAGUGUAGAGGUGAAAUUCGUAGAUAUUCGGAGGAACACCAGUGGCGAAGGCGGCUCACUGGUCCGGUACUGACGCUGAGGUGCGAAAGCGUGGGGAGCAAACAGG